GCGGGUGGGGCCGGGGACCUUCGUUUUCAAGAAGAAAGUUCUUCACCCUCCCACCUUCCCGACACGCAUUUCAGGAGAGAAAUGUCCUUAGACUGAGCUUAGGUUGAUAAGAGAUGUGUUGAUGGGGAAAAGGGACACCUUUUUCUCUUAAAAGGUGAUAGUUGACCUCGUGAGGUAGUGCGGUGCGCGCGGUUACCCAGAAUUCCGAGGGCCUCGGCGGCGCGUUUCCGGGCGCCCUGCUCCUCGCCCAGCUGCGGGACCUCCCUCCCGCCCGACUUGGCUCGGCAGUCGCCUGCUUCGCGCUCUUCCCACCCUCCUCCAAUUUAUAGUACAAUUUAUGGUUACGAGAGCACUGCGUUUUACUCUGUUUCUCAGGAUUUCUGCUGAGACUUGGCAUCUGCAGAUAACACCAUUCGACUUUGUUUUUUAAUGUAAAGGGAGAGGGACAGAGCGGCUCCACCUGAAGCUUCCCCUCAUGUGCGGUCGCGCGUGUGGUGGCAGAGGCUGGAACCCGGAUCCUCCAGCAAGUGCAAGUGAUCAAACUCAGGACCUCAUGAAUGCUAGGCAUAUACUCUACUGUGAUUCCUUGAAGGCUUUGACAAUGAGGGAAGGAGCCAAAGGGACCACCUCAAUCAGUCUGUCUAUUCUGCAUGGCCAGUUUUACUGUAAUCCUCAGAUCCCUUCAAUCACCAGUUGCCUUGACAAUGUCAUCACUAAGGUUUUUGUUUGUUUGUUUUUGUUUUUUGAGACAAAGUGAGAGGACCAAUCUUGGAGGUCAGGGCAGUUGUGGUGCUGAUUUCCCUACAAGUGUACCUUGGUGGCAUGAUGGAGGCAGCUGGUAGCAGAUGAGCCUGAUUUGGGGAAAACUGAAGAAAUUUACUGUGAGGAAACUUCCAGGAAAGAUAUCUCAGCAUGCCAGGCUUGUGCUUGCCACAGGCUUGUACAACCCAUGGCCUAAUUUCUCUGCAUGACAGAAAAGAUCUAUUUUUUUUUUCUUUUCCCUCCAGGGUUAUUGCUGGGCUCGGUGCCUGCACCAUGAAUCUACCGCUCCUGGAGGCCAUUUUCCCCCUUUUUUGUUGCCCUUGUUGUAGCCUCGUUGUGGUUAUUAUUAUUGCCAUUGUUGAUGUUGUUCGUUGUUGGAUAGGACAGAGAGAAAUGGAGAGAGGAGGGGAAGACAGGGGGGGAGAGAAAGACAGACACCUGCAGACCUGCUUCACUGCCUGUGAAGCGACUCCCCUGCAGGUGGGGAGCCAGGGGCUCGAACCGGGAUCCUUACGC